rnacentral:sRNA from 1 species
GGUGGUGAUUGAGCUCUUUUGCCCCAGUGGCCUAACAGUAUCACUGUCUCAUCAAGGGUGUUUUAGCCACACAAUUAAGGUCUAUCAUGUCCUAUGAUACUGUGUCGGUGCUCGGAGCAACCAUACAAAAGCAGAAAGGGAUAAAGAAGAAUUCUUACAACCAAUCCUCGCAAUGUGAACAAGGUGUGGUGUCGUGUCAGGAGUGUGUCGAUCAGCCUAGGCGGAUGGCGUUCGGUGGAGUGAAGAUGUGAAUCAUGCACAUAUAUAUAUCCAUCUUGAGGAAGAGAUAGCUAACAUAAUGAUUGAUCCUUUUGGCGUAGUGGCAACGCCUUCCUACAAGAUUGCAUGUUUUACAGAAGAGGCUCAGGUACCAGCCAGCAAACAUGCACAGGCUGUCUCCAUAUUUCGCUGGCACGAUGGGGAGAGACGGGGAAAGAUGGUGACAAAACAUACUCGUAAAUAAGCUGCCAUUGAUGCAAGGCCAAGGAAUGCAGAUAACAUGGUUAUGUUGACCAACAACGAGCGACACCAGGCGCCACUUACCUUGGACUACGCCAAAACCACUCUGCGAGCCUCAUGCAAUGCAACCCCUGUGCUUUAACACAUCAGUGUUUCUCUGGGUUGGAAUAUGGGGAAGUGUGCGAGCAAUCGAAGGAAGAAGAUCCCCAUAUAUAACAAAAAUUUAAAGUCAUUUUCAGACUGAAUUUUUCAUCCACGGCUUGUUACCUGUGCAUGGCGUCUUAAGCAAAGGCUGUGUCGUUGCUCAUGGCUUCGAUAUUUUGCCAUGCAUGAGCAAAAUGACAUCCUGAAAGAGCGAUUCGGGUCCCAUACCAAUGUAUCCACCUCUUACUUCCCUCUUGUGAUGGCUUACCAACUUUCCUGCCAUCACAGCCGAGAAGGGAGUACGAAGUGCUUGGUGACACUAAGAUACUUCCCCCUCUCAAAUUGGGCAGCCCAAACCUUUUUGAAAAGUCAGAUCUUGCUCCCGGCCAUUUUUUUAAUCGGCAUGAAGACGCUCAAUAAGGAGCAGGCUAGAUGGG